ensembl:lncRNA
UUAUUAUUAUUAUUAUUAUUAUUAUUAUUAUUAUUAUAUUAGUAUAGCAUUCAUUAUCAAUAACUGAAUAAUUUAUUGUAAAUAUGUAAUUUAUUCAGCAGAUUUUUAAAGUCAUGUGUUUUAUUGGUUAUUUUUGAUAACACCAAAUUUGUCUUGUCUUUUUCUAAUCUGAAAAAUUAUUUUGCAAUACAAUGACAUAAUUUUUCUCAUUACACUUAUUGCUGUGACCUAUUGUAUAGAUCACCACUCUUCUCAUUUCCUCUUCUUACUUCCUCAGAUAAGUAAGGGCUGAAUGCGACUAUGCUGCUUUAUGGUGUCAUUCAUUUCCACUUGAAAUGUGGAGCAGUGCAGGUGCCUCCUAUGAACUACAGCUUGUCUGCAGUGGGUUAGUGAUGAGGGGCUUUGCAAUAACUAUAAUAAAGGAUCACCUUCACUUUUGCCCGCUUCUGUUGCCAAAUGUUGGACAUUUCAAAAGUGUCGAUGGCUGCAGCCUUGUUGCAGGACCUCGUGUUAUAUUUUUGCACCAGGAGGAGCAUAUACGCAUUCAUGACCUGACAGAAAGAAAAGAAGCAAAAUAACUUUUGCAAUUAUAUGGAGGCCUGUCUUACACCUGUCAAUUAAAAACAGCAAUAAAAGGAUCACAAAGGUUUAAAAGGUCUUUUCUCCUUAAGGCUGUAUCGUGCAGUGCAAGGGCAGCCAAAUUUAUCUGCAGAGCUGACUGGAGAGGGAGGAUGGACAGGUGGAGAAGGUGCUGUGGGGCUGACUGGAGAGGGAGGAUGGACAGGUGGAGAAGGUGCUGUGGAGCUGCCUGGAGAGGGAGGAUGGACAGGUGGAGAAGGUGCUGUGGAGCUGACUGGAGAGGGAGGAUGGACAGGUGGAGAAGGUGCUGUGGGGCUGACUGGAGAGGGAGGAUGGACAGGUGGAGAAGGUGCUGUGGAGCUGACUGGAGAGGGAGGAUGGACAGGUGGAGAAGGUGCUGUGGAGCUGCCUGGAGAGGGAGGAUGGACAGGUGGAGAAGGUGCUGUGGGGCUGACUGGAGAGGGAGGAUGGACAUGAGAGGGAGAUUUGCAGCUGAUCAGAGUUGAGGGAUUCAGUGUAUAGGUUUUAUUUUCCAUUAAGAUUUUCCGGAGCUUGUGAGGGACUUUGGGGACAUCUUCACAGUGGGGUCUCAAAUGAUCUGUAUUAAUUUUGGGCAUUUUGACACCCCUCUCAUCUUGAAGAUCUGCACUUUUUCCCUCCAGUGCCACAAUAGUGUAAGGACCCAGGUAGUUAGCCUCCAGUUUUCCCCCUUUCCGCUGUUGGCUUCUCACGUUUUGCCUCCAUACUUUGUCCCCCACUACAAAGGGUUUGCUGGAUGGACACAACCUUUUUCUCAUUUUCUUUUGAGAGGCUUUAAUGUUUGCCUCAGCCUCACGCAAACCUUCACUAAUCCUCAACGCACACUCUGUGACUUGCUCCACAGUUACUGUGUCUUCCAUGCUUUCGUGAAUCUAAAAAAAAUUAUAUUUUUUUUAGUUUUUAUAAUAAUAUAUAUUUAUUUAAAGGGUUAGUUCGCCCUGAAUAGAAAAUUUGAUCAGAUAUUAAUAGCAUAAUUUACUUAAAUUGGGAUUAAACCACUGGAGUAACAUGGGUUGUUUUUUAUUGUGUUUAUGGACAAUUUAAAGAAUGUUUCAUGUAAACAGACUUUCAAUUUCAAAUUCUCUCAGCUUUAGUAAAAAUAUAUUUAUUCUGUUUAAACUUAAAUGAGAAUGAGUAAAUAAUGACAGAAUUUCAUUGUGAGUGGAGGUAAACUAACCCUUUAAGUAGUUAACAUUGAAUUUGUUUUGAAUUUUCAGUUACCCUGUAUUGCUCCGGAACCUCACAAGCAUAACGGGCCUCUCUCCCAAACAUUAAAAAAAAAGGUGAGAACUUUGUUGUCAUUUGCUUUU